rnacentral:tRNA from 1 species
GGCUUUUUGUUUCUAUGGACAAAUCAUAAUCGAUUGGUCACUGGUUCAAGUCCAGUAGGGGCCACCA